UGGGGAAUUUUGGACAAUGGGCGAAAGCCUGAUCCAGCAAUGCCGCGUGUGUGAAGAAGGCCUUCGGGUUGUAAAGCACUUUUGUCCGGAAAGAAAUCCUCUGGGUUAAUACCUCGGGGGGAUGACGGUACCGGAAGAAUAAGCACCGGCUAACUACGUGCCAGCAGCCGCGGUAAUACGUAGGGUGCAAGCGUUAAUCGGAAUUACUGGGCGUAAAGCGUGCGCGGGCGGUUUUGCAAGACGGAUGUGAAAUCCCCGGGCUUAACCUGGGAACUGCAUUCGUGACUGCAAGGCUAGAGUAUGGCAGAGGGGGGUAGAAAUCCACGUGUAGCAGUGAAAUGCGUAGAGAUGUGGAGGAAUACCGAUGGCGAAGGCAGCCCCCUGGGCCAAUACUGACGCUCAUGCACGAAAGCGUGGGGAGCAAACA
rnacentral:rRNA from 1 species